rnacentral:rRNA from 1 species
AGUCGAACGGUAACAGGUUAAGCUGACGAGUGGCGAACGGGUGAGUAAUAUAUCGGAACGUGCCCAGUCGUGGGGGAUAACUGCUCGAAAGAGCAGCUAAUACCGCAUACGACCUGAGGGUGAAAGCGGGGGAUCGCAAGACCUCGCGCGACUGGAGCGGCCGAUAUCAGAUUAGGUAGUUGGUGGGGUAAAGGCUCACCAAGCCAACGAUCUGUAGCUGGUCUGAGAGGACGACCAGCCACACUGGGACUGAGACACGGCCCAGACUCCUACGGGAGGCAGCAGUGGGGAAUUUUGGACAAUGGACGCAAGUCUGAUCCAGCCAUGCCGCGUGCGGGAAGAAGGCCUUCGGGUUGUAAACCGCUUUUGUCAGGGAAGAAACGGCUUUUUCUAAUACAGAGAGCUAAUGACGGUACCUGAAGAAUAAGCACCGGCUAACUACGUGCCAGCAGCCGCG